rnacentral:rRNA from 1 species
AACGAACGCUGGCGGCAGGCUUAACACAUGCAAGUCGAACGCCCCGCAAGGGGAGUGGCAGACGGGUGAGUAACGCGUGGGAACAUACCCUUUUCUACGGAAUAGCUCUGGGAAACUGGAAUUAAUACCGUAUACGCCCUACGGGGGAAAGAUUUAUCGGGGAGGGAUUGGCCCGCGUUGGAUUAGCUAGUUGGUGGGGUAAAGGCCUACCAAGGCGACGAUCCAUAGCUGGUCUGAGAGGAUGAUCAGCCACAUUGGGACUGAGACACGGCCCAAACUCCUACGGGAGGCAGCAGUGAGGAAUAUUGGACAAUGGGCGCAAGCCUGAUCCAGCCAUGCCGCGUGAGUGAUGAAGGCCUUAGGGUUGUAAAGCUCUUUCCCCGAUGAAGAUAAUGACGGUAGUCGGAGAAGAAGCCCCGGCUAACUUCGUGCCAGCAGCCGCCGUAA